rnacentral:rRNA from 1 species
GAUGAACGCUGACAGAAUGCUUAACACAUGCAAGUCAACUUGAACUUCGGUUUGGGUGGCGGACGGGUGAGUAACGCGUAAAGAACUUGCCUCACAGAUAGGGACAACAUUUGGAAACGAAUGCUAAUACCUGAUAUUAUGAUUAUAUGGCAUCGUAUAAUUAUGAAAGCUAUAUGCGCUGUGAGAGAGCUUUGCGUCCCAUUAGCUAGUUGGAGAGGUAACGGCUCACCAAAGCGAUGAUGGGUAGCCGGCCUGAGAGGGUGAUCGGCCACAAGGGGACUGAGACACGGCCCUUACUCCUACGGGAGGCAGCAGUGGGGAAUAUUGGACAAUGGACCAAGAGUCUGAUCCAGCAAUUCUGUGUGCACGAUGAAGUUUUUCGGAAUGUAAAGUGCUUUCAGUUGGGAAGAAAAAAAUGACGGUACCAACAGAAGAAGUGACGGCUAAAUACGUG